CACCGGAGAGUGCAUCAAAAGAUCAAAUCAUCAAUGUAUAUAGCAAUAUAUACCCAACUUCUCAUUAUACAAGGUUUCAUAUAUUUCACACCAACGGUCAUUUGCCAACAUUCAUAAUCCUCACAAUUACCAAUAUUGAAUAACAUUUACCAAAGUACUCAUUCUAUAAUCAUUACUAUAAUCAUAUCACUAUUUAGAAAUCUAUUUCCCCG
rnacentral:lncRNA from 1 species